rnacentral:rRNA from 1 species
UAGGGAAUCUUCGGCAAUGGGGGCAACCCUGACCGAGCAACGCCGCGUGAGUCAUGAAGGUUUUCGGAUCGUAAAGCUCUGUUGUAAGAGAAGAACGUGUGUGAGAGUGGAAAGUUCACACAGUGACGGUAACUUACCCGAAAGGGACGGCUAACUACGUGCCAGCAGCCGCGGUAAUACGUAGGUCCCGAGCGUUGUCCGGAUUUAUUGGUCGUAAAGCGAGCCCAGGCGGUUUAAUAAGUCUGAAGUUAAAGGCAGUGGCUUACCCAUUGUUCGCUUUGGAAACUGUUAAACUUGAGUGCAGAAGGGGAGAGUGGAAUUCCAUGUGUAGCGGUGAAAUGCGUAGAUAUAUGGAGGAACACCGGUGGCGAAAGCGGCUCUCUGGUCUGUAACUGACGCUGAGGCUCGAAAGCGUGGGGAGCAAACAGG